GAGGUGAUACCAGGCCUCAGCUGCGUAC
rnacentral:sRNA from 1 species